GAUGAACGCUAGCGGCAGGCCUAAUACAUGCAAGUCGAACGAUAGUUGGGGCUUGCCCCAACGAAAAGUGGCGCACGGGUGCGUAACGCGUAUGCAACCUACCUUAAUCAGGGGGAUAGCCCGAAGAAAUUCGGAUUAACACCGCAUAAAAUCACAGUAUAGCAUUAUACAAUGAUCAAAUAUUUAUAGGAUUAAGAUGGGCAUGCGUGACAUUAGUUAGUUGGCGAGGAACGGCUCACCAAGACUACGAUGUCUAGGGGAUCUGAGAGGAUGACCCCCCACACUGGUAC
rnacentral:rRNA from 1 species